ACGUAGGGGGCAAGCGUUGUCCGGAAUUACUGGGCGUAAAGCGCACGCAGGCGGUUCGUUAAGUCGGAUGUGAAAGAUCUGGGCUCAACCCCGGAUUUGCUUCGGAUACUGCAGGACUGGAGUACGGGAGAGGGAAGUGGAAUUCCGGGUGUAGCGGUGAAAUGCGUAGAUAUCGGGAGGAACACCGGUGGCGAAGGCGGUUUCCUGGGCGAAUACUGACGCUCAUGUGCGAAAGCGGGGGGAGCAAACAG
rnacentral:rRNA from 1 species